rnacentral:lncRNA from 1 species
GCUGGGCAGUUGUUUUUGGCACCGGGCGGUUCUGCGGCUUGAGGCAAACCGUCGGGAGGCCAUUUUUGGCGUCGGGCGGUUGUCAGAUGGGCCUGGGCUUGAAUUUUGUCACUUUUCUUGGUUAUAAAUAGCCCUAGUGCAAGUUUAGAUGGAUUCUUUUGAGAGAAGGGGGCGGUCAGACCUAAUUUCACUCUCUGGGGAGGAUCUCUUGGAUGCUUAGGCUCCU